UGGCGCUCGCUCAGAAGUGUCUCAAACUCUACACCAACGCGUGCCCUGGGCGCAGCGGCGCGCCUAGCUUUUCGCAGCUGUCGUCCCUGGGUGGGUUGUUAACGGGCUCGUAUCUGGCGCCCGAGAUUUCUGGGAAAUUCUUCUCGGCAGAAAAGCGCUAUUCACAGAGCGAAAAGAGAGAAACCUGGUGGGGUAGGUGAAAACCGAGGAGCGGCGAGAGUUGCAGUUAUCUAGAGACGCGGGCAUCCUCACCUGCGGUGCCAGGUGGGGUCUUUCUUCCUGGGCUUUCCGAAUAUGUCCUCCUUGCUUUGCACAAUGUCCUUCGCCCUGCUUUCCUGGUCCGAGUCAAUCUCCUAGCCAUUUGUCCACUCAAAACUUCGGUCAGGAAAAUCCGAAGUGAUACCGUCCUGGUAACAUGUGAUGUGUAUAGGGCACGCACAUUUUCAGUCUUUCCCCUCAGGAGCCAGCCCAGGUCUCCUCACCUCCCUCCAGAAAUUCACCCUCUUCCGCUCAAAACUAAAUCAGCUAAUGGUACAGCUUCUACCCCCGCAAACCGCCAUGGUUCCACUUACUGGGAAAUUUUAUGCUUUGAUAUCCACCAAAGCUCACUAAACCUGGGUGCUGCUUCAGGUCUCCCAGGUUACAAUCUUGCAUCAUACAAAAUGAGUUAGAAAACUUGCCGCCAGUUAAUUAGUAUGAGCGACGGCUGGUCUUUAAUACUGCCACUUGCUUGAGGGGUGACACUGUCUGCUGGGGGCAGAGUCGUUUACACAAAGCAAGCAAGCAAGCCGCACUUAAUGAGCUACAGGGAACAGUCAAGUCCUGCCUGGGACGUGUGGCAUCAGAAGAUCCGCGCGCACCUAUACUGCCCAGGACCCUCAAGAUGCCACCAGCAGUGUAACCCCGUUAUUUUCAUUGUCUCACGUGUCCUGAGGAUGGCUAGUAGGUCUUUGAAGUUGUUAAUGGGAUUAAUGAGGACAGCAAACCAAGCCAGCCAUCUGGUUUGGAUUAGGAAAAAGUAUUGAUGAAUCUUUGAGAAGUGUCCCCAAGGCAGAACCUUUCCCUCCACCGGUCCCUCAGGUUUCAGCCUACCUCUCUUGUCUUUUAAGCCCUACUGCAGAAUAGUGGCCUCUCAAUAAACCUUUACAUCCGUGUGAAAGUUCGAAUUGUUUUCCAUUGCUUAGAGGUGGGAUGUGGUGGGGGUGAUCAGGAAUUCUGAGAUUUGUAAGCGCUGCUUUCUUUAACGGAAAUUGAGCCCUAUUUUGAGGGAAAUUAGUUUUGCAGACUUCGUUAAAAAAAAAAAAAAAAAGCUAAAACUUUUGUUCACCAGCUGCUCAGCUUUUCAGUCUGGGUUUGAGCUGGAACCUGCUGCAAGCGUUUGACGGCAUUCACGCGCUUUUGAAACUUUCUAUGAACGCACUUGGAUCUAAUGUCCCUGAAAACAAAGAAAGAACAGUGCAAUUUGAACACAGUAGCCUCUGCCCCAUGCCUGAGGGAGACAGCACAGCUUUGGGAACUAUGAUUGAGUGACAGCCCUACCUAUGAAGUAAGUAACCAGGCUACCCACUUAGCCCUCUUUUCCAUGGUUUCUUAAAUAGUUGGGUUUUCCUGACUUUUUUUUCUUUUUUUCUUUUUCUAAGGUUGGAGAAGUACAGCCAGCUGGCUAGAAUCUGCUUCCCAUGUGUUCUUAAUAACUUUUAUUUCCCUAAGGGCUAGCCUAUGCUUCUCAAACCUGGCUACACAUGAGAAUCACCAGGGUAACUUAAAAGAAAAAAAAAAAAAAAUACCAACGUGUGAACCCAUAACCAAAGAUUCUGAUUAAAUUGGUCAGGGGUGGAUCCUGGGCAACAGUAGGUUAUAAAACCUUCCAUCUGACUCUGAUGUGUGGCUAGACCUGGCCAUCUCUACUUUUCAAUUUUUCAGGAGAAAUACCAGAAUGGCAUGACCUUUAAUUCAGUCUGCACAUCAUUUCUGCACACUACUUCCAGGGCAGGGGAUGUUGCAUACUCAAUAUAUACUGACUAGUCAAAUGUGGAAAGAAUGAUGCAUUUGAAAAGAUUAUUCCU